GGUCAGCCAUCUUUGAUUUUUUUGCAAGGUGCGUGUUGACUUAGAUCAAAGGCAAGAGUUCUCUGACGGAGUUAAAUUUACCGUUUUUCUGGUGACUUUAUAUCAUAGACUAUACAUUUUAAAGUACAGUCUGUGCUCCAUAUCCACCAGACAUCGUUUUUUUCGCUGCAAAAAUGAUCUUUCUUCCGGAUUUGCUGGGAUGCUGGGCUACAUUGUUUCAAUUCAUUGAGGAUAACAAGAAGAUGGUGGAGAGCCAAUCCUGAGACAAACCUGGCUCAGUCAUGAUCAGGGUAAUGGAGGCUAGAGGACAUCAGCAUGGAGAUAGCAGAUGGGACAGAGGCGAUACAGAGAGGGAGGAUGAUCAGACAGCAGGAGACAGGCAAGCACCAUCCUGAAGGUAUACUCAACAUUUCUCCAGUCAUCAUGAAACGCUGAUCUAGAGAGAAGUUACUUAUCACUGUGAGGAGUGCAGCAGUCGCAGGUAUUAAGGGAACAUUAGCUGCUCGCCAAACCUGAGGAGUGUGUCUGCAUGUGAGAAGUGCUGACUGCAAGUCUAGCAAAGGUGAGCUCCCUAGAUCACAUUCAAAUGUUAAGCGAUACACACACAGACACAAACACACACUCGCAUACACACACACACGCACAGGUGAGGUCCAAUACAAAUGUUGCUAAUAAGCAGCACCACUGGGCCAGAUCCUAUUUGUCAAACCCUUGGGUGCCGACCGCCAGACGGGGAGUAACCUGCUGAGCUCACACUUCUGAAAUGCAGAGACACACACACACGCACAAGCAAAUAUGCAGACACACAAACUUCCUAGCCAUCUGUUUGUCAGUGGGAUGUGACAGUAGUUUAAAUAGACUUAAAAUUUACAGUAGCAUACCUCUACUUACAUUUAUUCAGGUUUGCUGCAGCUGU